GGCGGACGGGUGAGUAACGCGUAGGAAUCUACCUAAUGGUGGGGGAUAGCCCAGGGAAACUUGGAUUAAUACCGCAUAAGUCCUAAGGGAGAAAGCGGGGGAUCUUCGGACCUCGUGCCAUUAGAUGAGCCUGCGUAAGAUUAGCUAGUUGGUGAGGUAAGAGCUCACCAAGGCGACGAUCUUUAGCUGGUCUGAGAGGAUGAUCAGCCACACUGGGACUGAGACACGGCCCAGACUCCUACGGGAGGCAGCAGUGGGGAAUAUUGGACAAUGGGGGCAACCCUGAUCCAGCCAUGCCGCGUGUGUGAAGAAGGCCUUCGGGUUGUAAAGCACUUUCAGCAGUGAGGAAAGGUUACAGAUUAAUACUCUGUAGCUGUGACGUUAACUGCAGAAGAAGGACCGGCUAACUCCGUGCCAGCAGCCGCGGUAAUACGGAGGGUCCGAGCGUUAAUCGGAAUUACUGGGCGUAAAGCGCGC
rnacentral:rRNA from 1 species